GAUGAACGCUGGCGGCGUGCCUAAUACAUGCAAGUCGAACGCUGGAAAUCUAGCUUGCUAGAUUGAAGGAGUGGCGAACGGGUGAGUAAUACAUAAGCAACCUACCCACGAAGACUGGGAUAAUCUCUGGAAACGGGGACUAAUACCGGAUAGGUAAUCGGAAGGCCUCUUCUGAUUAUUAAAGGUUAAAAACACUGGUGGAUGGGCUUAUGGCGCAUUAGUUAGUUGGUGAGGUAACGGCCCACCAAGACGAUGAUGCGUAGCCGGCCUGAGAGGGUGAAACGCCACAAUGGGAACGAGGCACAGGCCAGACUCCUACGGGAGGCAGCAGUAGGGAAUUUUCGGCAAUGGGGGAAACCCUGACCGAGCAACGCCGCGUGAGUGAUGACGGCCUUCGGGUUGUAAAGCUCUGUUGUAAGGGAAGAACGGUAGAUAGAGAAUAUCUAAAUGACGGUACCUUACCAGAAAGCCACGGCUAACUACGUG
rnacentral:rRNA from 1 species